UAGGGAAUCUUCGGCAAUGGACGGAAGUCUGACCGAGCAACGCCGCGUGAGUGAAGAAGGUUUUCGGAUCGUAAAGCUCUGUUGUUAGAGAAGAACGUUGGUAGGCGUGGAAAAUCUACCAAGCGACGGUAACUAACCAGAAAGGGACGGCUAACUACGUGCCAGCAGCCGCGGUAAUACGUAGGUCUCGAGCGUUCUCCGGAUUUAUUGGGCGUAAAGCGAGCGCAGGCGGUUCUUUAAGUCUGAAGUUAAAGGGAGUGGCUUAACCAUUGUAAGCUUUGGAAACUGGAGGACUUGAGUGCAGAAAGGGGGAGUGGAAAUCCAAGGGUAGCGGUGAAAUGCGUAGAUAUAUGGAAGAACACCGGUGGCGAAAGCGGCUCUCUGGUCUGUAACUGACGCUGAGGCUCGAAAGCGUGGGGAGCAAACAGG
rnacentral:rRNA from 1 species